GACGAACGCUGGCGGCGUGCUUAACACAUGCAAGUCGAACGGAAAGGCCCUGCUUUUGUGGGGUGCUCGAGUGGCGAACGGGUGAGUAACACGUGAGUACCCUGCCCUUGACUUUGGGGUCACUUAAGGAAACUGGGGCUAAUACCGGAUAGGAGCUCCUGCUGCAUGGUGGGGGUUGGAAAGUUUCGGUGGUUGGGGAUGUACUCGCGGCUUAUCAGCUUGUUGGUGGGGUAGUGGCUUACGAAGGCUUGGACGGGUAGCCGGCCUGAGAGGGUGACCGGCUAAACUGGGACUGGAAUACGGCCCAGACUACUAUCCGACGCAACGGUGGAGAAUAUUACACAAGAGGCGGAACGAUGACGUAGCAACGCAGCGUCGGGUAUGUCGUGAAGCGGGUAGUGAACCAAUGUCGUUUUUGACGAGGCGUUAGUGACGGUACCGGGUGAAGAAGCACCGGCUAACUACGUG
rnacentral:rRNA from 1 species